rnacentral:misc_RNA from 1 species
ACACCUCAACUCUCACGGUUUUGCCGUGAUGAGCUUGGACUUUGGGGGUCUUGCUGGCCUGUGGUCAGCUCCUCUCAAAUAAAUCAGCUCGCCAGUGUUUGGUGGCAUCACGGGUGUGAUAACUAUCUACGCUUGUGGCUUCCACCAGGUAACCUUCAGUGAUGGGGGUUCGCUGGAGCUCAUAAACGUCUCUCCUCAGCGAGGACAGCUUCUUGAAC